GGAGAAGUACUCAAGUUGGCUGAAGAGGCGCCCCUGCUAAGGGUGUAGGUCGGGAGACCGGCGCGAGGGUUCAAAUCCCUCCUUCUCCG
rnacentral:tRNA from 1 species